UACUGCUGCUCUGCACACUGACCCCUUCACCAGGAAUCGCUCUGAAAAUAAUUUAAAAAGUACUUUCAACCACUGCUGCUCUGCACGCUGACUCACUUCACCAGGAAUCUUUCCAGAAACAUGUUACCAGAUCUUCUCGAUCCAACUAUUACUGCUCUGAAGCCUUAAAAUCAUUCACGUGAAUGACUCGCAAGUGGUUUUUUUCAAUGACUGUCUAUAAUUAUGCAUGAUUAACUUAACUCUUAUUAACUCAAUAACAUGACUAACCUCACUAACUUA